UUUCUCGAAAAUAAAAUAAGAUAAACAUGUAGAAAGCUUUUUGAUUCCUUGUUAGGACGUGGGUUCGAAACCCACCAGUUCCACCA
rnacentral:tmRNA from 1 species